rnacentral:tRNA from 1 species
GCCUUCGUGGUGUAAUGGUUAGCACACUCGGCGUUUAUUCGAGAGAUCCAGGUUCGAGUCCUGGUGAGGGCA